UACGUAGGGUGCGAGCGUUGUCCGGAAUUAUUGGGCGUAAAGGGCUCGUAGGCGGUUCGUCGCGUCGGCUGUGAAAACCCGGAGCUCAACUCCGGGCCUGCAGUCGAUACGGGCGGACUUGAGUGUUGCAGGGGAGACUGGAAUUCCUGGUGUAGCGGUGAAAUGCGCAGAUAUCAGGAGGAACACCGGUGGCGAAGGCGGGUCUCUGGGCAACUACUGACGCUGAGGAGCGAAAGCGUGGGGAGCGAACAGG
rnacentral:rRNA from 1 species